GUUCAUUUUACAGAGAAGGAAACUGAGUCAAACAGAGCUCCAGCUCCAGUCCCUUGAAAUCCCUAAGAGACACCAAGUGCUCCCAGAUACUCACAUGAUGACAAACCACCUUCAGACACAACCAUUCUCUGCUUCCUGGUUGCAAAAAAGGCAGCAGAGUGCCCAGAUGAGGGCAUGGACAUGGAGAGGUUUAUGGAGCCAAUGGGAUUGGGCAAGGACUUCUUCAGCAUCUGCUAUCCUCCAGGCACUGGACUGGUCCUUGGAAGAGGCCUGAGCAGCUCCACCAACCCCAUCCACCAACGGAUCAAUCCCCACUGUAACCAGCCUGAUAAGAAGUGAACCAGCUUGUCAUCGGAGACUUCUCUGGCCUCUCAAAUCAGCAGCGGAUUCUACUUCAGGCAGCUUUCACUAGAAGAUGGUGCCUGCCAUCAAGCCUAAGUUUUCCUCUUUAUAACUGCUACCCACGGCCUUCCUGCUUCUGCCCUCUGGAGUCAAAUAGAACCUGGCUAAUCCUUCCCCCACAUAACACCCCUUCACAUAUUAGAAAACAGAAGCCUUCUCCCCUCCGGUAUAACCAUGCACACUCCCAGCCUUCUUUUGGACAGCCAUCAUUUCCCUCUUCUUCAGUGUCCUGAAGGGCCAUGACCAGACUCGGUUGUUCAGCAAGCCUAGAACAAGCUCCUCCCAAGUGCCAGGCACUGGGAGUACCAAGACAAAAAUAAAAUAGUCCCUGCCCUCAAGGAGCUUACGUUUUAUUAUUUUGUAACACCAUAUACUGAACCUAGGACUCUCACAGACACCUGUGUGUUCAGAUAGCUCUGCUAUUACUAAACCGGGUUGCUGCCUCUUUUGCUAUUAAUAUUCACUAAGAAGCUUAGUUCACAAUUGAAUCCAUCGGCUCAGCAUGAUGCCACAGGGUCAUUUCCCCACGUUUCCACACCUCUCCUCUCCUAUACCCUACACUGCCUUGUCUAAUUCUCUUUCUCAAGAGAUUAAACAUCUGCAAUUAAAUUAUACACAUCCAGAAGAUGAUGAACUUCUGGGGGCUAGGUAGGGAUGCAGUUUUGUACAACUUUGUAUGUCCUAUAGUACUCAACACAGUG